rnacentral:sRNA from 1 species
GGAAUCUCGUAACCUUGUUCCUUGAACCACUCCAAAUCCCUACUCAAAUUCUCUGCCCUUUCCAACCCCGUGUUUUUGAGCCCGGCAUCUACAAAAAAAUAUAAAAGAACCAGAGGUUUUGACAAGGUUAUAUACACAAGAAGAGGAAUAAUUAACUACCUAAACUUAUUAUUGCCGAAACUCAUUUUUUGUUGUUGCAUAUAAAUUGUUUUAUCUUGAUAUUUUUCUUGUUAACGUGUAUAUGUGACGAAAGGUAUAUUUGGCAUUAGUAUGAAUCAGAUGAAAGAGAACUAAAUAACAAAACUUCAUGGUCAGAUUCUUUAUUUUUCAUUCUUCUGAGCAUAUAUAUUAAAUUCACCCAAUUAAGAAGACUAUAAAGACUAAUAUGUAAUAUGCAUGUAAAUUAAU